UUCUCAGCCCGUGCUCUGUAGGCUCGCCGUGCAAGUCUGGGUGUGCCUGGCGAGGGUUCUUCUGUUCUUCACAGAGCCCCCCAAUAAUUUACCUCUUCAAGGGGCAGAAGUGUUGCCUCCAGAGGAUCUAAAUGUGUGACCCUUGAGUAUACGUUCUUGAAAAAUUAAGGGCCUCCUGCUGACUUGAGAAUCCUUGCCUGGAAAGGCUCCCUUCCUUUGGUCUGACUUUGUCCUCAAACUAGUUCGUUUCUUCCCUUUUGUCCUCACAGUCACGUGUUCUCAGCAGUCAGGGCUUCAUAGUAAAACAUUUUGGCAGAGGUCCUUGUCUUGCUGAAGUACAAUGAUAAAAGCCUCUUGCUUCAAGUACUUUUUCAUUAGCAUCCAUUGUAAAAAUUAAUUCAGAGCAGCCAGGGAUUGAUUUUUAUCUGUGCUACGGGUAGUAUAUUCUUCGUAUCAAAUAGUUAUUUGAAUAAUAUCUCCAAAAUGUUGUGAAACUGUCCAAGGAUUCAUGAUUUGGCACAAAAAUCAAGUUUGAAAAGGUACCAUAAAAGAUGGUUUUGAUGUUAUUUGUAUUUAUUUAAUGUUAUUAUGCUAAAGAAAGGUUGGUAGAUGAAUAUUAGAGUAGCAAUCAAGGAUACACUGAGAGCUAUCGCUGAGUGUUAGGGAUUCAAAGAUGAGCAAGGCCAGGCCCUGCCUUUGAGAACAGAGGAGACAGACGUGAAAAUGACAAAAAACAGCAGCAUUGCUCAUUAUUCAAAGGACCUUCUGGAUCGCUGCAGGCUCAGCCUCCUCAUCGCUGAACUUUCUCAUGCUCCCAGUAUUUCUUGGUGAGAACAAGUUAUUUUUCCUCUUGAGUUAUAGAGUUUUCUAUUUAUGACUUGACAAAUGACAGACACCAUCUGACAGGUGUGCAAACACUGUGGAAGGGCCAUUUGUCAAAGUGACUUUUUCUCUAAAGGCCCAGGGCUUCCUCCGAGGCACAGACCGCUCCCGCGGGCCCUGCCUGCUUCGUCUUCCACGGUGUGUUUUUCCAAACUACAGCUCCUCUCGUGUUUUAAAGUGCUUCCAUUACUUUGUAGGCAGUGGGUGUCAGAAGUUACUAAAAUGUUUACUACUGGGGACGGUUCAGGUGUUAUUUAGGACAUUGUUUUGCAGAUCAAAGUGGAUCAUACCUUUCUACUAGAUCAAAGUCGAAAGGUAUGAGUAAAGAAUAGAUUACACAAUUUUAAAAGAAGGACUGGACGUGUUUGUUAUGGACUGAAGGUUUGUUUGCCCCCCAAGUUCAAACGUUGGAAUCCUAACCCCCAAGGUGAUGGUGCUGGGAGUUGAAACCUUUGGGUGAUGAGGUCAUGAGAGUGGAGGCCUCCUGAAUGGGACUUGUGCCCUUAGAAAGGAGACCCCACAGAGUUCCCUCACCUUUUCUACCGGGUGAGGAUACAGGGAGGAGAGAACCAAGAAGUGGUUUUCAGUUGACAUUGAAUCUGCUGGUGCCUUGUUCUUGGACUUCCCAGCAUCCGGAACUGUGA